UACAGAGGGUGCAAGCGUUGUUCGGACUUAUUGGGCGUAAAGCGCGUGUAGGCGGCUUUGCAAGUCGGGUGUGAAAGCCCUCAGCUCAACUGAGGAAGUGCGCCCGAAACUGCAGAGCUUGAGUACCGGAGAGGAUGGCGGAAUUCCCCAAGUAGAGGUGAAAUUCGUAGAUAUGGGGAGGAACACCGGUGGCGAAGGCGGCCAUCUGGACGGAUACUGACGCUGAGACGCGAAAGCGUGGGGAGCAAACAGG
rnacentral:rRNA from 1 species